UACAAUGUUUGGCUCUUCGUCUUAUUUAAAAAUUUUCUAUGAUUACUAUUACUAUUAUUAUUAUUAGAUGAUAAAAUAUGAAUAAUACUUUAUGUGUGACUAAUUUUUUUAAAAAAAAAUUAAAUAAGACGGACCAUCAAACGUUGGACACAAAAAUGCA
rnacentral:pre_miRNA from 1 species